rnacentral:rRNA from 1 species
CGCACAAGCGGUGGAGCAUGUGGUUUAAUUCGAUGCAACGCGAAGAACCUUACCUGGUCUUGACAUCCACGGAAGUUUUCAGAGAUGAGAAUGUGCCUUCGGGAACCGUGAGACAGGUGCUGCAUGGCUGUCGUCAGCUCGUGUUGUGAAAUGUUGGGUUAAGUCCCGCAACGAGCGCAACCCUUAUCCUUUGUUGCCAGCGGUCCGGCCGGGAACUCAAAGGAGACUGCCAGUGAUAAACUGGAGGAAGGUGGGGAUGACGUCAAGUCAUCAUGGCCCUUACGACCAGGGCUACACACGUGCUACAAUGGCGCAUACAAAGAGAAGCGACCUCGCGAGAGCAAGCGGACCUCAUAAAGUGCGUCGUAGUCCGGAUUGGAGUCUGCAACUCGACUCCAUGAAGUCGGAAUCGCUAGUAAUCGUGGAUCAGAAUGCCACGGUGAAUACGUUCCCGGGCCUUGUACACACCGCCCGUCACACCAUGGGAGUGGGUUGCAAAAGAAGUAGGUAGCUUAACCUUCGGGAGGGCGCUUACCACUUUGUGAUUCAUGACUGGGGUGAAGUCGUAACAAGGUAACCGUAGGGGAACCUGCGGUUGGAUCACCUCCUUACCUUAAAGAAGC